rnacentral:rRNA from 1 species
UACGUAGGGGGCAAGCGUUGUCCGGAAUCAUUGGGCGUAAAGCGCGCGUAGGCGGCCCUGUAAGUCCGUUGUGAAAGUCAAAGGCUCAACCUUUGAAAGCCGAUGGAUACUGCAGGGCUAGAGUCCGGAAGAGGCGAGUGGAAUUCCUGGUGUAGCGGUGGAAUGCGCAGAUAUCAGGAGGAAUACCGGUGGCGAAGGCGGCAUCCUGGACCGACAUUGACGCUGAACGGCGAAAGCUAGGGGAGCAAACGGG